CCUACGGGUGGCAGCAGUGGGGAAUAUUGCACAAUGGGGGAAACCCUGAUGCAGCGACGCCGCGUGAGUGAAGAAGGAUUUCGGUAUGUAAAGCUCUAUCAGCAGGGAAGAAAAUGACGGUACCUGACUAAGAAGCCCUGGCUAACUACGUGCCAGCAGCCGCGGUAAUACGUAGGGGGCAAGCGUUAUCCGGAUUUACGGGGUGUAAAGGGAGCGUAGGUGGGAUGGUAAGACAGUAGGGAAAACCCGGGGGUCCACCCCGCGGAUUGCGUUUGGAACUAGCAGGCUGGAGUGCUGGAGGGGUAGGCGGAAUUCCUAGUGUAGCGGUGAAAUGCGUAGAUAUUAGGAGGAACACCGGUGGCGAAGGCAGCUUACUGGACAGAAACUGACACUGAGGCUCGAAAGCGUGGGGAGCAAACAGGAUUAGAUACCCCGGUAGUC
rnacentral:rRNA from 1 species